GAAACUAAACUUACCAUGGAGUUUGUGCUGAGCUGGGUUUUACUUAUUGCUAUUUUGAAAGGUGUCCAGUGUGAGGUGCAGCUGGUGGAGUCUGGGGGAGGCUUGGUUCAGCCUGGGGGGUCUCUGAGACUCUCCUGUGCAGCCUCUGGAUUCACCUUCAGUAACUACUGGAUGAGCUGGGUCCGCCAGGCUCCAGGGAAGGGGCUGGAGUGGGUCUCAUACAUUAGAUAUGAUGGGGGUAGCACAAGCUACGCAGACUCCGUGAAGGGCAGAUUCACCAUCUCCAGAGACAAUGCCAAGAACUCGCUGUUUCUGCAAAUGAACAGCCUUAGAGCCGAGGACACAGCCAUGUGUUAUUGUGCAGGAGACACAGUGAGGGGAGGCCAGUGUGAGUCCAGGCACAAACCUCCUGCAGGAAGGCUGUAGCAAAAUCAGCUGCAGGAGGGGCUCAGGAGCCACUGAUCAGAGUCAACCCCAGAGGCAGAUCCUGAAAUACUGGGCUUCUGUGCACCUGCAGCCUUUCUUCUUCUUUGACAUGGAGAUCCCUGUAUCCUCAGAGAUGAGUGAUGCCUCGUUGUCGCUCCCAUGGCCCAUGCAAACAAUUCCUCCAAGGCAGUUGUGUGUUUUCCUGUAA